UGUGUCUGUGUUCUCUACUAUCACAAGCAAUACAAUGCUUACAAGACUGCAAUCUUUGCUAUUAUACACUUUUGAGUGAUGUCAAUGAACAAGAGUGACACCUAUCUGUUGUUCUCGUGAUGCCAUUCCCACAAUAUCUAAAGCACUGGUUUUAACGUGACCUCCAAUCUUGUAUGGCAAGGCGUAAGUGCGGUUUGGGGUAAGCAUCUGGUGCUGCAAUCUGUGUUUCGUCACAGGUGACACGUUAUGUCUGUCAACCCAUGCCUUCAUUGCUCUGUGCUCGUACGUAAAGCCAUCGGCUGCUAUAUGUGGAUCUUCCAUUACUUCCUGCAAAGAAGUGGCAGAAUAGUAGAGCAGGCAGCGGAAUGAGAAUCAGGGUUUCAGAAAAGAGCACUUAACAAAAGAUCAGAUAAUCUCAUCGACUUUGAAUUCUCACCUGAAGGAUUGGACAGAAGUACUGGCUAGGGGCCCUAAGCUUUCCCUGUACCUUGACAUGCAUCUCUGCAAAUUCAAAAAGUUUCUUCAGAAAUGGAAGAACUUCAGUCUCAAGAUCUGGUCUAUCUCUACAUCUAAGCUUACAGCAAUGAAGAGCCAUCUUAGAUAGCUCCUCUGCCUCAAACAAUGGCCAGUCUACAACUGACUUAUCAAGUACAUCUGCGAGCAAGUUAGCGUUUAUAACUGUUUUCAACAUAAUUUAAUUCAUGAAAAAUAAACUUCAAUCACAAAUAAAAAUAUGAAGAAACAACAAUUUUCAUUGAUAAAUGACGUGGAUACAAAUCUGUUCUUCUCU